AGUUUAUAUGGGUUAUCUAUUAAAAUAUCUAAUUUGCAAUUAGGAGAACAGAGUGAGUCUUUGAUUAACUU
rnacentral:tRNA from 1 species